CUAACGCAGGCGGUGUUAAGCGUGGUUGACACUGCAAUGAGAGGCUAUGUUUAGAGGAAAGAGAGAUUGAGACAACGUUUGUAUGCCAAAUAUACACUUCCAUCUGUAAUCUCCAGGACUUCACUUGGUCGCUCGUCACUCAUCCCUCAUGGACUACCAGGUCAAAUCCACAAUGGUUGCAAAGAUGUGUAGGGUUUUCUUCACCCGUUCUGCAGCAGCAUAACACCUCAGCCUCCUAUGGAAAAGACAAAGAUAAACUGCAAGAGCAGAACUGUACAAAAUGAUGUACUGUAUAUUUUACAAGUAGCUUGUUCCACUUUGAAUAAUAGCUAAAUGAUAAUGUGAGAGACAAAUUAAACAGGUUCACAAUUUUA